CCUACGGGAGGCAGCAGUGUCGUAUAUUGGGCAAUGGAGGGAAAUUUGAACCAGCCGGGUCGCGUGAAGGACGACGGCCUUACGGGUAGUAAACUUCUUUUCCGGGGGAAAAACUUGGUUCACGGGGGAGCAAAUGACGGUACCCCAGGAAGAAGCCUCGGCUAACUCCGUGCCAGCAGCCGCGGUAAUACGUAGGGGGCGAGCGUUAUCCGGAUUUAUUGGGUGUAAAGGGUGCGUAGGCGGGUUUUUAAGUCAGUGGUGAAAGCCCGCGGCUUAACCCCGGGAUUGCAUUUGAAACUGGUUGUCUUGAGUGCGGGAGAGGUAAGUGGAAUUCCUGGUGUAGCGGUGAAAUGCGUAGAUAUCAGGAGGAACACCGGUGGCGAAGGCAGCUUUCUGGACCUGUAACUGACGCUGAGC
rnacentral:rRNA from 1 species